rnacentral:lncRNA from 1 species
GAAGAUUACAGAUGUAUUGCUGAAGAUGUGCAGGAGGGACAUGAGGCCUGGUUGACCUUCUAAGAGCAGGUAACACAGGUUCUCGUGGCAGAAAGGAAUGGGAAUUGGUGGUAGUGGUAUGUAAUGUGUCAUCAACAGUAGGGUAGGGAUUAGAAACAAGAGGAGAAGGGGAAGGAGAAGUAUUAGAUGUUGAGGAAGGACUGAGUAAUGAUUCAUCAAUAGCAGGUGAACAGACAGGGAAGGAAGGAAGAAGGGAAGGUGGAACAGAGGAGGUACUUCUUGAAGAAGCAUAGGGAAAGACAUCCUCAUAGAAAGUAACAUCCCUGGAUAUGAUAGUGAGUUUGGUUUUCAAGUUAUACAACGUGUAUCCCUUUUUACCCAGUGGAUAUCCCAGGAAAACACAAGGGUCAGCUCUUGGAUGAAAUUUGUCUCUAUGCUGCUUGGGUACAGAAGCAAAGCAAAGACAGCCCACAGAGGAGGUACUUCUUGAAGAAGCAAAGGGAAAGACAUUAUCAUGGAAAGUAACAUCCUUGGAUAUGAUUGUGAGUUUGGUUUUCAAGUUAUACAGCUUGUAUCCCUUUUUACCCAGUGGAUAUCCCAGGAAAACAUAAGGGUCAGCUCUUGGAUGGAAUUUGUCUCUAUGCUGUUUGGGUACAGAAGCAAAGCAAAGACAGCCAAAAGUCUUAAGAUGGUUAUAAG